rnacentral:lncRNA from 1 species
AUUUGAAAUAGCAUAUACAGCUUGGUUUUUUAAAUCUCAGCUUUCAUUUUGGAGUGGCAGGAGUUGCUGGGUUACAGGAGUUGCAAUGCUGGACUAGCCCAUGAGCAGUUUAGCUCAGAAUCUUGCUGGAAUAGGUUGGCAGCAGGUCAUGUCUGCAGGAACAGGAGCUAGGCGGGGCUGGGGAGUAAUGGUGGUAGGGCUUCUGCCUCCUGCAAGACUCAUAAUGGCUUUCAGCAGCUUGAGACCGGUCUGCUAGGAGGUGUAAUGAUGGAAAAAAAGGAAAUGUGCUCCAAAACCCCGCUGCAGAUGGAAAGCCAAAGGGAAGGACAACCUCAUCCAUGGACCCCCAUCUUUUGCAGGGUAAAGCUGGCUUUGUUCCAUCCUGGUUGUCUGGCUUUCAAACCUCCUACACACCACAUCUCCACUUCCACUAAUGUUAAGUCUGCUCAAAACUGAGCCAAACCUUUCUACUUGGAUUAUGGACAAGACUUCAGCGGGACCCAUAAUCGUGUCUUUAUGCAAGUGGUAUCGCCUCUGUUUGAUCUCUGUUUUGAAGAUAUAACAGCCUUGACACUGGACAGCAAGUGUGAGAUAAGGACCAAAAUGGAGAGGGGAGUGAGGUGAUAAGAAAUUGUAAAAGUGCAGUCGUAGAAGUCCAUGUGAGACUCGUGCUAGUUCACCAAGAACAUGUGGCUUCCCCACACCUCACUAGUAUUUUGGUCAGAGCUAGUUUUUUUACAAGUGGAGAGAAAGAGAUGAAGACCUUGUUAUUAAAAAUGUUGC